UAGGGAAUCUUCCGCAAUGGGCGAAAGCCUGACGGAGCAAUGCCGCGUGAGUGAUGAAGGUUUUCGGAUCGUAAAGCUCUGUUGCCAGGGAAGAACGCUUGGGAGAGUAACUGCUCUCAAGGUGACGGUACCUGAGAAGAAAGCCCCGGCUAACUACGU
rnacentral:rRNA from 1 species